rnacentral:RNase_P_RNA from 1 species
GUGGUGAUAAGGUAACAUAAGGAGUAACCCACGGGCAUUUAAUUGCUCAUUGGUACUGCUCCUGGGAAGGUCUGAGAUCAGGUCUCGAUCCAAUUUGGGUGAUCGUAUCCUCUAGCGGGGGAACGACGUGAAACGCCGUGGUACCGUACCAGAAACUUGUCCUCGGUAUCAAACAUCCUGAAGUACAAGACGGUUUAUACCUUACCUUUCAUAGGUAAGAAACCUGAUACGUUCGUGGUGAUGGUACUGAGUUUGAACCACGGUACUAGUACUAGCUGUGCUGAGUGCGAUUGUUACACGCAUAUAAAUGUGAACUCAAUUCAGACUACUCUCUCGCCAC